AGCCAGCAGCCGCGGUAAAACGUAGGAGGCGAGCGUUAUCCGGAUUUACUGGGCGUAAAGCGCGUGCAGGCGGCUUGGAAAGUUGGCUGUGAAAGCUCCCGGCUCAACUGGGAGAGGUCGGUCAAGACUUCCAGGCUCGAGGAUGGUAGAGGGAGGUGGAAUUCCGGGUGUAGUGGUGAAAUGCGUAGAUAUCCGGAGGAACACCAGUGGCGAAAGCGGCCUCCUGGACCAUUUCUGACGCUCAGACGCGAAAGCUAGGGGAGCAAACGGGAUUAGAGACCCCGGUAGUCCUAGCUGUAAACUAUGUAGACUUGGCGUCGGUGGGUUCAAAUCCAUCGGUGCCGCAGCUAACGCGAUAAGUCUACCGCCUGGGGACUACGGCCGCAAGGUUAAAACUCAAAGGAAUUGACGGGGGCCCGCACA
rnacentral:rRNA from 1 species